UACAGGGGGUGCAAACGUUGCUCGGAAUCAUUGGGCGUAAAGCGCACGUAGGCGGUCUGUUAUGUCGGAUGUGAAAGCCCUUGGCUCAACUGAGGAAGUGCAUCCGAAACUGGCAGGCUAGAGUACUAAAGAGGAUCGCGGAAUUCCCGGUGUAGAGGUGAAAUUCGUAGAUAUCGGGAGGAACACCGGUGGCGAAGGCGGCCUGCUGGGCAGUGGCUGACACUGAGGCGCGACAGCGUGGGGAGCAAACAGG
rnacentral:rRNA from 1 species